CGAAAUAUAUUAUCAUACAUCCUCUCUGACAACUCACCAUUUAAGUUGUAAGCCACACAUAUUAAUGAACAUAUGGUUACAUUUGUUACAUUUUGCUCUUAAAUUCGUAACGUUUAUGCUAGACUGUUUUUCAACUGAACUCUCCUUUAUUUACAGAAAUUAGGUACAUAGUUCCAAAACUGUCAGCACUAAUAAAAACCACUUUGCAUUUUCUUACUUAAGUGUAAGAAUUUUUAAGAUUCCGUAUUUCCUCGUUUUUGCUCACACAUAUCACCAUGUCCUCAUAUCUCUAUAUACAACAGAAUUAAUGAACAUCUCUGAACAAUCCAAAGAGAAAAUCUAUCAUACAUAAACACACAAGAUAUAUAGAUAUGGAGACUGCAGUGGUGAUUGUGGGAGCUGGACCAGCUGGUUUAGCAACAUCUGUUUAUCUAAGCCAACACACAAUCCCAAACGUGAUAAUCAAGAAAGAAGACAUCUAUGCAUCACUUGGGAAGAAAUGAGCUUAUGAUCAACUCAAACUUCACUUAGCUAACAAAAUGUGCGAGCUUCCUUUCAUUAUGCACGGUCCCAAUCUUCAUGCCCAAAAAACAUUUCAUCAACUAGCUUUACACCUGCAAAGUGACGUACGUGUCUCUAGCAUUUUACGGGCUCAAGAUAAACAUAUUAGUAUUUUACUACAAUUUUUUUUAUGAAAAUCUAUUUAAUAUAUCAAUAAAAAUAUAUAAAACCAUUUUAUAUGCACUAGUUUUAGCGAAGAGAUAAAAUUAGAUUAGUAAGAAAAUUAUCAUAAAAUUAUAUAGGUGAUUGCGAACAUCUUCAUCUUUUAUAUAUGUUAACUGAAAUAUAUACAGUUUACAUGUCAAGUUAUAAGUGAUAAACUAAUAUUAAAAUGUAAAAAGAAAAUAUUAACCAAUAAAAUAUUUGAUAAAAUAUGGUUAAAACAAAAGAAAAUAUUAGUAAAAAGUCAUCAAAUGUCUAGCCAUACAUCUAUUGUCUUUUACUGCAAACGUAGAUAGUCAAUUUAAUUAGUAACUAUUUUAAACAUAUGCCUUUAUUUUUAAGUAAUUCACUCUAAAUAUAAAGUAAUGGGUGUCACUAAAUUUCUUUGAAAAUUUGGUCAAUUUUGUUAAAAAAAUUAUUUUUUGGAACUUUAAAAGUCAUCCACUUACAUACUUGAUUUUUAUUUCAAAAUUAAAUAAAGAAUGUCAAAAUAAUAAAUAUUUUCAGAUUUUUAUUGGCUAGUCUUAUUAAGUAGAUACAAAAAAAGUAUUAAUAUCUAAGCAAGUAUAGUAGUUAAUAUCAUAAUAAAAAAUGUUAAAAUAAAAUAGCAAAGUCAAAUACGAAAUAUAAUAUCAUACAUCCUCUCUGACAAAUCACCAUUUAAGUUGUAAACCACGCAUGGUUACAUUUGUUAUCUUUUGCUCUUAAAUUCAUAACGUUUAUGCUAGGCUGUUUUUCAACUGAACUCUACUUUAUUUACAGAAAUUAGGUACAUAGUUUCAAAACCGCCAUCACUAAUAAAAACCACUUUGCAUUUUCUUUCAAGUGUCAAAAGUUUUAAGAUUCCAUAUUUUCUCGUUUUUGCUCACACAUAUCACCAUGUCCUCAUAUCUGUAUAUAAGAACAGAAUUAAUGAACAUCUCUGAACAACCCAAAGAGAAAAUCUAUCAUACCUAAACACACGAGUUAUAUAGAUAUGAGACUGUAGUGGUGAUUGUGGGAGCUGGACCAGCUGGUUUAGCAACAUCUGUUUAUCUAAGCCAACACUCAAUCCCAAAUGUGAUCCUCAAGAAAGAAGACAUCUAUGCAUCACAUGGGAAGAAAUGCGCUUAUGAUCAACUCAAACUUCACUUAGCUAACAAAAUUUGCGAGCUUCCUUUCAUGAUGCACGGUCCCAAUGUUCCAAUCUUCAUAUCCAAAGAACUUUUCAUCAACUAGCUUUACACCUACAAAGUGACGUACGUGUCUCUCGCAUUUUACGGGCUCAAGAUAAACAUAUUAAUAUUUUACUACAAACUUUUUAUGAAAAUCUAAUUAAUAUACCAAUAAAAAUAUAUAAAACCAUUUUAUAUGCUCUAGUUUUAGCGAAGAGAUAAAAUUAGAUUAGUAAGAAAAUUAUCAUAAAAUUAUAUAGGUGAUUGCGAACAUCUUCAGCAUUUAUAUAUAUUAACUGAAAUAUAUAUAGUUUACAUGUCAAGUUAUAAGUGAUAAACUAAUAUAAAAAUGUAAAAAGAAAAUAUUAACUAAUAAAAUAUUUGCUAAAAUAUGGACAAAACAAAAGAAAAUAUUAGUAAAAACUCAGUAAAUGUCUAGCCAUACAUCCAUUUUCAUUUCUCUUUUCGUGCGACCUAACUCUCACACUUGUUUGUUUCUUUUAUUUAACAUUAAAGCAACUAACAUUUUCGAUGGUUUCAAUUUUCAAACGGAUAAGUUGUAGAAGAAGAAUCUGUUUCGACUUUCGUACCAAUCUGAACUUGCGUGGGCAUACGAAGAAACCAUUUUUCGGAUACAUGCAAAGUAAAUAGAUUCCAGUAGUGCAUGAACACGUUCAUCUAACGUAUAUAGUAAAUCAAUAUGUGUCAUGUCUUUGUUAAACAGUAUGUGUAAUGACUUCAUAAAUGAUUCAGUUCAGUUAGAAUAUAUAUUUUAUAACUUUCCCAAAAUAUUAAGAGAACAGCGAUAAGACUAAAUAACACGUAUCACUCUAUGACUGAUCAUUUCAAUAUAACGUCUACUGUUUGUUUUUUUGAAACCUAUAAUGGUUCUUGUUUUUAAUAUAACUUAUAUAGAUAGAAGAAAUAAUCUUAUAGAAUUUUAUAUUUAGUUUUGGAAAAUGACAAAAUACAAAGAAUAUCAGUCUAUUUCUAUUGAUAAUUUAAAAAUGCCACAAGGUAAAAACCCUGUAUGUAAUUGCAUUUUACAGAGUCUUAGUUGAGUUUCUAUGUUGAUGACAAAAAAAAUCGCAUUUUAAAGAUGACUGUAGUUGUUUUACAAUAAAUAUGACACUAAUAUUGUCUUUUACUGCGAACUUAGAUAGUCAAGUUAAUUAGUAACUAAUCUAAACAUAUUCCUUUAUUUUUAAGUAAUUCACUGUAAAAAUAAAAUAAUGGGUGUCAGUAAAAGUUUAAGAAAAUUUGGUCAAUUUUGUUAAAAAAAUUAUUUUUUAGAAGUUUAGUAGUCGUCCACUUACAUACUUGAUUUGUAUUUCUAAAUUAACUAAAGAAUGUCAAAAUAAUAAAUCUUUUCAGAUUAUUUAUUGGCUAGUCUUAUCAAAUAUAUACAAAACAAGUAUUAAUAUUUAAGCAAGUAUAGUAGUUAAUAUCAUAAUCAAAAAUGUUAAAAUAAAAUAGCAAAGUCAAAUACGAAAUAUAUUAUCAUACAUCCUCUCUCACAACUCACCAUUUAAGUUGUAAGCCACACAUGGUUAAAUUUGUUACCUGUUGCUCUUAAAUUCGUAACGUUUAUGCUAGGCUAUUUCUCAACUGAACUCUCUUUUAUUUACAGAAAUUAGGUACAUAGUUUCAAAACCGCCAGCACUAAUAAAAAUCACUUUGCAUUUUCUUACAAGUGUCAAAAGUUUUAAGAUUCCGUAUUUCCUCGUUUUUGCUCACACAUAUCACCAUGUCCUCAUAUCUUUAUAUAAGAAUAUAAUUAAUGAACAUCUCUGAACAACCCAAAGAGAAAAUCUAUCAUACCUAAACACACGAGAUAUAUAGAUAUGGAGACUGUAGUGGUGAUUGUGGGAGCUGGACCAGCUGGUUUAGCAACAUCUGUUUAUCUAAGCCAACACUCAAUCCCAAAUGUGAUCCUCAAGAAAGAAGACAUCUAUGCAUCACAUGGGAAGAAAUGCGCUUAUGAUCAACUCAAACUUCACUUAGCUAACAAAAUUUGCGAGCUUCCUUUCAUGAUGCACGGUCCCAAUGUUCCAAUCUUCAUAUCCAAAGAACUUUUCAUCAACUAGCUUUACACCUACAAAGUGACGUACGUGUCUCUAGCAUUUUACGGGCUCAAGAUAAACAUAUUAAUAUUUUACUACAAACUUUUUAUGAAAAUCUAAUUAAUAUACCAAUAAAAAUAUAUAAAACCAUUUUAUAUGCUCUAGUUUUAGCGAAGAGAUAAAAUUAGAUUAGUAAGAAAAUUAUCAUAAAAUUAUACAGGUGAUUGCGAACAUCUUCAUCAUUUAUAUAUGUUAACUGAAAUAUAUAUAGUUUACAUGUCAAGUUAUAAGUGAUAAACUAAUAUAAAAAUGUAAAAAAAAAUAUUAACCAAUAAAAUAUUUCCUAAAAUAUGGACAAAACAAAAGAAAAUAUUUGUAAAAAGUCAUCAAAUGUCUAGCCAUACAUCCAUUUCAAUUUCUCUUCUCGUGCGACCAAACUCUCACACUUGUUUGUUUCUUUUAUUUAACAUUAAAGCAACAAACUUUUUCGAUGGUUUCAAUUUUCAAACGGAUAAGUUGUAGAAGAAGAAUCUGUUUCGACUUUCGUAUAUCGGAAGAUUAGGAAACGUUUUUCAUCACUACCAAUCUGAACUUGCGUGGGCAUACGAAGAAAUCAUUUUUUGGAUACAUGCAAAGUAAAUAGACUCCAGUAGUGCAUGAACACGUUCAUCUAACGUAUAUAGUAAAUCAAUAUGUGUCAUGUCUUUGUUAAACAAUAUGUGUAAUGACUUCAUAAAUGAUUCAGUUCAUUUAGAAUAUAUAUUUUAUAACUUUCCCAAAAUAUUAAGAAUACAUCGAUAAGACUAAAUAACACGUAUCACUUUAUGACUAAUCAUUUCAAUAUAACGUCUACUGUUUUUUUUUUUGAAACUUAUAAUGGUUCUUGUUUUUAAUAUAACUUAUAUAGAUAGAAGAAAUAAUCUUAUAGAAUUUUAUAUUUAGUUUUGGAAAAUGACAAAAUACAAAGAAUAUCAGUCUAUUUCUAUUGAUAAUUGAAAAAUGCCACAAGGUAAAAACCAUGUAUGUAAUCGCAUUUUACAGAGUCGUAGUUGAGUUUCUAUGUUGAUGACAAAAUAAAAUCGCAUUUUAAAGAUGACUGUAGUAGUUUUACAAUAAAUAUGACACUAAUAUUGUCUUUUACUGCAAACGUAGAUAGUCAAGUUAAUUAGUAACUAUAAUAAACAUAUUCCUUUAUUUUUAAGUAAUUCACUGUAAAAAUAAAAUAAUGGGUGUCAGUAAAAUUUUAAGAAAAUUUGGUCAAUUUUGAUAAAAAAAAAUUAUUUUUUAGAAGUUUAGUAGUCAUCCACUGACAUACUUGAUUUGUAUUUCAAAAUUAAAUAAAGAAUGUCAAAAUAAUAAAUAUUUUCAGAUUCUUUAUUGGCUAAUCUUAUCAAGUAUAUACAAAACAAGUAUAAAUAUCUAAGCAAGUAUAGUAGUUAAUAUCAUAAUCAAUAAUGUUAAAAUUAAAUAGCAAAGUCAAAUACGAAAUAUAUUAUCAUACAUCCUCUUUGACAACUCACCAUUUAAGUUGUAAGCCACGCAUGGUUAAAUUUGUUACCUUUUGCUCUUAAAUUAGUAACGUUUAUGCUAGGCUAUUUCUCAACUGAACUCUCCUUUAUUUACAGAAAUUAGGUACAUAGUUUCAAAACCGUCAGCACUAAUAAAAACCACUUUGCAUUUUCUUACAAGCGUCAAAAGUUUUAAGAUUCCGUAUUUCCUUGUUUUUGCUCACACAUAUCACCAUGUCCUCAUAUCUUUAUAUAAAAACAGAAUUAAUGAACAUCUCCGAACAACCCAAAGAGAAAAUCUAUCAUACCUUAACACACGAGAUAUAUAGAUAUGGAGACUGUAGUGGUGAUUGUGGGAACUGGACCAGCUGUUUAGCAACAUCUGUUUAUCUAAGCCAACAAUCAAUCCCAAACAUGAUCCUCAAGAAAGAAGACAUCUACGCAUCACUUGGGAAGAAAUGAGCUUAUGAUCAACUCAAACUUCACUUAGCUAACAAAAUUUGCGAGCUUCCUUUCAUGAUGCACUGUCCCAAUGUUCCAAUCUUCAUGCCCAAAGAACUUUUCAUUAACUAGCUUUACACCUACAAAGUAACGUACGUGUCUCUAGCAUUUUACGGGCUCAAGAUAAACAUUAGAGGUGUCAAAAUGGGUUUAAAUUAAUGGAUUGAUCCAAACCAAACCAAUCCAUGGUUUUAAUGAGUCAAUAAUUUGGAUGUUAAUGGAUUAAUGGUUUUUAUGGGCUAAUGAGUUUAGUGAGUUGGAUUCAUAUUGGUUUGGAUAAAAAUGGGUUUAUGGAUUAUCCAAUCCAACCCAGUUUUUCUCACAUAAUUCCUCUCAUUUUUUUUUCGUUUCUCGCUAGCGAACGCUUUGAUCUCUGUUCAACACAUACACCAUUGGCAUUGAUCACCACAUCAAUCACACCUUUUGGGUCAUUGGUCACAACACAACAACGUCACCUUCGUUGUUCAGGAAGGCUAAGGCGUUGUUCACAGUUCUUGGAACGCUCAUCAAUACCAGGGGAUGAUGCUGCUACUGAUUUGAGAUCUAAUGAAUGGGAGGUUGUUCCUGAUAUAUGGAGAUCAUCUGCGGAUAAGUACGGUGACAGAGUUGAUGUGCUUGAUCCCUUUCGUAUGGUUUCGUUUUCAUCUGUUUGUAAAGUGUUGGAAUGUUUCUACCAUAACAAGUUUAAAAAAAAAGCCUUUCACAAAGACUUUAAAGCUAGUCUAAUGAAGAUACUCUGUUUUAUUUUUUAUGUUUUAUAAUUUUGUUAGUUUUUUUUUUUACUUUUAAAUUUGCAUAAUCAAAUUUUAGACAGUGUUAGUAAUAUUUUUAUUUAAAAUUUACAAAAUUAUUUACUUA